rnacentral:rRNA from 1 species
AGAGUUUGAUCAUGGCUCAGGACGAACGCUGGCGGCGCGCUUCAUCCAUGCAAGUCGAACGAGCCCGGGACUUCGGUCCCAAUGGGAAAGUGGCGAACGGGUGAGUAACACGUGAGAAACCUACCCCGGAGAUGGGAAUAGCCCAGGGAAACCUGGAUUAAUACCCAAUACCCUGCUUGCACCUCAUGGUGCGCUCAGGAAAUGCUUUUGUGCUCCGGGAGGGUCUCGCGGCCUAUCAGCUUGUUGGUGAGGUAAUGGCUCACCAAGGCAUCGACGGGUAGCUGGUCUGAGAGGACGAUCAGCCACACUGGGACUGAGACACGGCCCAGACUCCUACGGGAGGCAGCAGGAGGGAAUAUUGCGCAAUGGGCGAAAGCCUGACGCAGCGACGCCGCGUGGGGGAAGAAGGCCUUCGGGUCGUAAACCCCUUUCAGCAGGGACGAAAUUGACGGUACCUGCAGAAGAAGCGCCGGCCAACUACGUGCCAGCAGCCGCGGUAAUACGUAGGGCGCAAGCGUUGUCCGGAUUCAUUGGGCGUAAAGGGCUCGUAGGCGGUUUGGUAAGUCGGGUGUGAAAACUCAGGGCUCAACU